AAGUGUGCAGUGCUUCUGGAGUCACACAGCCCUGCACUACAGGCGUAAACAGACUGGGAUGGAGCGAUGCACCCUGGCUGUCACAGCUCAGGACGACGAAUCUCCGACGCCCUUCUACUGGAUAUACGGAGUGCAAGAUAAGCAGCAGUACUUGGCCUUUUGUCUGGAGCACCACACAACUGUUCAAACAGAUUAGAGCACAGACAGAACACCACCAAUUCACCUUCACACGUGACCCGAGAACGACACUCAGACAUAAACCCAGCGAGCUGAAUAAACCAUGAAAACCUACGCACAGGUGUGGCUUUGUUUCGUCUGUGAGAAAGCACCCAUACGAAACAGCGUACGCAUAAAGGGUUAUGAAAAUCGUUGGCCGAUAUCAAUGCC